AGAGGGUCGAGCUGAGGGCACAGCUGGCUCAAUAAUCAGCUUCUGAUAAACGUCUGACUGAAAAGAAUAUCAAGCCAAGGGCACAGCUGCCUCUACAAUCCGGAGCCAUAAGGAAGAAUCUUUCCAACCGGGAUGCCAC